GAAGUGACUGGGGGUGCCAUAAAUGUGACAUAUGUUUCAGGAAAUACCUCUUUCACUGAAAAAAAUCUAGGGACGUGAAAUAAGCUUGAGUUUGUUUGCCAGCAGGGUUUAUACUUUGCUCAGACUUCUAACCCUUGAUCUUUAUGGUAAAGAUAUUGGCAUCUGUCUGUAGAACGUGAGUUGUUGCUCUAAAUUUGGCUUUAAUGCCAAACGUUUUCUUUACCACAUGUUCAUAAUUCCAGAUUAAGUAUUGUGUGGGUGUGUGGGAGACAGAUUAUGCACAUUUCCUGGUUCAUAUUUUUACUUUGGGGGUCUACUAGUAAAUGUUCACAUGCUUUAAUGUUAAAAAAACACAAUUGGUCUCUUUUACCGUCCAUUACUGCAGCACCCUUAAUCACCAUGUUCUGAUUAGAUUUGCAUAUUGACUUACAGCAGCAAAAUAACAGGUGUACUGAAAACAAUAGUGAUGGCUUAGUUUAAUUUAGACGCCCCAGUAAGUCAUACCAAUGAGGCAGCAUGCACAAAAGCAAGGCUCUAGCCUUGGAGCCAUCCAUCCAUCUUUGUCCGCUUAUCCGGUUUCGGGUCGCGGGGGCAGCAGCUCCAGUAGGGGACCCAAAACUUCCCUUUCCCGAGCCACAUUAACCAGCUCCGACUGGGGGAUCCCAAGGCGUUCUCAGGCCAGGUUGGAGGUAUAACCCCUCCACCUAGUCCUGGGUCUUCCCCGAGGCCUCCUCCCAGCUGAACGUGCCUGGAAAACCACGGAUGACUGUGCUUCUCACCCUAUCUCUAAGGGAGACGCCAGGCCCUCUUCUGAGGAAACCCAUUUUGUCCGCUUGUACCCUGGAUCUUGUUCUAUCGGUCAUGAACCAGUCUUCAUGUCUAUAGGUGA